rnacentral:rRNA from 1 species
GGAUUGGAGUCUGCAACCCGACUCCAUGAAGCUGGAUUCGCUAGUAAUCGCGCAUCAGCCACGGCGCGGUGAAUACGUUCCCGGGCCUUGUACACACCGCCCGUCACACCAUGAGAGUUGGAAAUACCCGAAGCCUGUGAGCUAACAGUAAUGAGGCAGCAGUCGAAGGUAGAGCCAAUGAUUGGGGUGAAGUCGUAACAAGGUACC